ACGGAAGGCAGCAGCUAAGAAUAUUCCGCAAUGGACGAAAGUCUGACGGAGCGACGCCGCGUGGAUGAUGAAGGCCGAAAGGUUGUAAAAUCCUUUUGAACUGGAAGAAUAAGCAGGUCAGGUAAUGGAUUUGUGGUGACGGUACAGUUUGAAUAAGCAACGGCUAAUUACGUGCCAGCAGCCGCGGUAACACGUAAGUUGCGAGCGUUGUUCGGAAUUAUUGGGCGUAAAGGGCAUGUAGGCGGUUGCCUAAGCUUGGUGUGAAAUCCCGGGGCUUAACCCCGGAACUGCGUUGAGAACUGGGCAGCUAGAGUUACUGAAGUGGAAUCAGAAUUCCAGGUGUAGGGGUGAAAUCUGUAGAUAUCUGGAAGAUACCAAUGGCGAAGGCAGGUUUCAGGCAGAUAACUGACGCUGAGGUGCGAAGGUGCGGGGAGCAAACAGGAUUAGAUACCCUGGUA
rnacentral:rRNA from 1 species